CGCUCAGAGCCCCUUAUGAGGGUGAUGAGGUGCUUUUUGUAGAACGAGCCAACGAGUUACGGUAUGUAGCAAGGUUAAGUACUUAAGGUACGGAGCCGAAGGGAAACCGAGUCUGAAUAGGGCGACUAGUUGCAUGCCGUAGACCCGAAACCGGGUGACCUAUCCAUGGCCAGGUUGAAGCGAGGGUAAAACCUCGUGGAGGACCGAACCACGUUGCUGUUGAAAAAGCAUGGGAUGAGCUGUGGAUAGCGGAGAAAUUCCAAUCGAACCCGGAGAUAGCUGGUUCUCUCCGAAAUAGCUUUAGGGCUAGCGUCGAGUAUGAGUAGUGGAGGUAGAGCACUGAAUGGGCUAGGGGGCAUAGCGCUUACCGAACCUUAUCAAACUCCGAAUGCCACAUACUUUGAGCUCGGCAGUCAGACUACGAAUGAUAAGAUCCGUGGUCAAAAGGGAAACAGCCCAGAUCGUCAGCUAAGGUCCCAAAGUGUAAGUUAAGUGGGAAAGGAUGUGAGAUUUCUAAGACAACUAGGAUGUUGGCUUAGAAGCAGCCAUUCAUUAAAAGAGUGCGUAAUAGCUCACUAGUCGAGAGAUCUUGCGCCGAAAAUGUAACGGGGCUAAACUUACCACCGAAGCUACGGGCUUGAACAUAGUUCAAGCGGUAGGAGAGCGUCGUAACCGGGCUGAAGUCGUACCGUAAGGAGCGGUGGACUGGUUACGAGUGAGAAUGUUGGCAUCAGUAGCGAGAUGUGGGUGAGAAUCCCACAGGCCGAAAACCUAAGGUUUCCUCAGGAAGGUUCGUCCGCUGAGGGUUAGUCGGGACCUAAGCCGAGGCCGAAAGGCGUAGGUGAUGGACAACUGGUUGAUAUUCCAGUACCACUACCAUCGUUAUUAUCGAUGGCGUGACGCAGGAGGAUAGUGUGUGCUAGCUAUUGGAUGCUAGUCUAAGCGUUUAGGCAGUGAGAGUAGGCAAAUCCGCUCUC
rnacentral:rRNA from 1 species